GUGCUCACUUCAGUAGCACAUACACUAAAUUUGGAAUGAUACAGAGAUUUAGCAUGGCCUCUGCACAAGGAUGACACACAAGUUCAUGAAGCAUUCCAUAUUUUU